UUGAACGCUGGCGGCAUGCCUUACACAUGCAAGUCGAACGGUAACAGGUCUUCGGAUGCUGCCGAGUGGCGAACGGGUGAGUAAUACAUCGGAACGUGCCCGAUCGUGGGGGAUAACGAAGCGAAAGCUUUGCUAAUACCGCAUACGAUCUACGGAUGAAAGCAGGGGACCGCAAGGCCUUGCGCGAACGGAGCGGCCGAUGGCAGAUUAGGUAGUUGGUGGGAUAAAAGCUUACCAAGCCGACGAUCUGUAGCUGGUCUGAGAGGACGACCAGCCACACUGGGACUGAGACACGGCCCAGACUCCUACGGGAGGCAGCAGUGGGGAAUUUUGGACAAUGGGCGAAAGCCUGAUCCAGCCAUGCCGCGUGCAGGAUGAAGGCCUUCGGGUUGUAAACUGCUUUUGUACGGAACGAAAAGACUCUGGUUAAUACCUGGGGUCCAUGACGGUACCGUAAGAAUAAGCACCGGCUAACUACGUG
rnacentral:rRNA from 1 species